rnacentral:rRNA from 1 species
AUUGAACGCUGGCGGCAGGCCUAACACAUGCAAGUCGAGCGGAUGAAGGGAGCUUGCUCCUGGAUUCAGCGGCGGACGGGUGAGUAAUGCCUAGGAAUCUGCCUGGUAUUGGGGGAUAACGUCCGGAAACGGGCGCUAAUACCGCAUACGUCCUGAGGUAGAAAGUGGGGGAUCUUCGGACCUCACGCUAUCAGAUGAGCCUAGGUCGGAUUAGCUAGUUGGUGGGGUAACGACCUACCAAGGCGACGAUCCGUAACUGGUCUGAGAGGAUGAUCAGUCACACUGGAACUGAGACACGGUCCAGACUCCUACGGGAGGCAGCAGUGGGGAAUAUUGGACAAUGGGCGAAAGCCUGAUCCAGCCAUGCCGCGUGUGUGAAGAAGGUCUUCGGAUUGUAAAGCACUUUAAGUUGGGAGGAAGGGCAGUAAGUUAAUACCUUGCUGUUUUGACGUUACCAACAGAAUAAGCACCGGCUAACUUCGUG